UUCCAGCCCUGAGUGGGCCCUCAUCACUUAGCAUACUCCUACCUAGAUACCAACUGAGUAGCCUAGGAGACCCCCUUUCAGGACUAAUGCCCAGUCAUGUCAACUUCAGACUCGUGACUUGGUGCAAAGCCCACUGCCACCUAAAUGAAGUUGGUUGAGUGGCAGCCCAACUACGCGUAGCUCCUGAGACCUUUCAGGCUCAGACACAUGCUGGACUUGGACUAAGUCACUGCCACAUGGCCACUAUUACCCUUACAUCUACCCCCAGUGACUUGCUGCUAAACUUAGUGAUAGAUGUGAAUGUCUGAGUUCCUAGAUAUCUUCACAGCCCUUUAAUCAUGGGGUAAGCUACAGCUAUGGCUCUACAACUCAGCCAAGAGUUCAGUGGCUGCAGCAAAUGGCACCUGUAGACUAUAAGAAACUGGCGAACAGAUCCUUUAACCUACAAGAUUCAAGAUUCUAUUCAUCUCUCUGGUUUUACUUUCAUUAGGCAGCUAACACAGUUAAGGGAACCCUUUCAGGAUGGCCUACCUCUGAUCUUGUGAAAUCCAUUGUGAACCAUGCUUUAGACCUUGAGGAAUUAACAAAGCAGCUUUCAUCCAUGCCUUAAGGUACCGUCAUUUGAAGCAGUUGCUCAGGACAACAGGUGCAUACAAUCCCAGCUGCAGGGUCUGACUGAGCGAGAGAAAGUUCAACAGUGAGGUACCAAACUAGAUUUAGCGAGCCUGCCAGGCUACAGGGAGGUUACGAGGCACUUAAGUUCAAGUGAUGCUUACGGCUGAACAGAAGUUCCACGCUGAGGAGCAUAGGUACUAAGUAAGACGCCCAUGACAGAACCACGUGAGCUGUUGGGAGAGGGCGGGGUACUCUACCAGCCAGCAACUCUUACUGAGCACCUGCUGUGAUGGGCACUGGUCUAUAACUAGUCUUAUCUAGUCACAAAACCCCAGUUUAAGCCACUUUUGCAACAACUUGUCCAAGUUCUCAGAGCUAGUAAGUGACAGAGCUAGGGACCGAACUCAGAUGAGCUCAAGCCCAUAUUCUGUCAUACCACAUCACCACAAAGGCAUUUCCCCACACAGAGGAUCCGAGGUUGAGGCUCCAGCUAGAAGUCACUGACACUACAGUAGAUCAGCUCCUGCCAGCCCAUCCCACACCUCCAAGCCAAACAAAAGCAACAGCUCCUGAAGCACCUAGAAGCGGCACAUGAAGUCGACACCUUAGGAGUUUCUAUUUAAGCCCUCAUCAAGUUCGGCCCAGAGCUGGCUCAGCUGAGCCAACUCCACAAAAAAUAGCCUUGCCUGAUUUUCAAGUAGGGUCAGCACUUUCCACUCACUUUCCCCAGGUCAGCAGGUUGAGCCACCUCUAGGCCUCUGGUUUUCCUGCUUCUCAGACCACCACACCAUGUGAUCAUUUGCCUGCCAAUUCCCUCCAGUUCCUCUUGCAUGCACUUAGGAUCAAGACAGAAGACAAGCAAGUAGAACUAUCAUCUCCAAGACCUGGUCAGAGAAGCCAGGCCACGGGUUGCUUGAAACAAAGGGACCUCAACUAGUAAGAGCAGGGAAGUCUCGAGUUUGUCACUAUCAGAGGAAGGGCUGAGGAGCCACUGCCUGCUAGGAACUCUCAAGUGUUUGGCUCUUAGGAGACAGCAAAUUAUCCCUUCUAAGUCCGUGUACUCUAAUUCAGGCUUCCAUGCAGACAAGCUCUGUCAUGUUACAAGCAAGUUUGCAGCCAUACAGCCAGCAGAGCUUACCUACCUACCUCCCCUCCUCCCCCUCCACGAGCUACUAGUUCCCUGAACCACUCAUUCCCAGAAAAAAAUCACUCUUGGGGAAAAGGAUAGCUUCCCCUAACAAGGAAGAGACCGCAGCUUUGCUUUAGCUCCCCUAAGUUUUUAAGACUUUCUUCCCUCCAGUUGAGGGAAGUAAGCCGACGAAGAGACUUUUCAGACUCAGACAGCAGAGAGGAAAAAAAGCUUUCUCUAGAUCUAGAGAGGGGCAGGAGGCUGUCUUUUUACAGGCCCUAAACUCCUGUGAGAGGAGAAAAACCUGCACGGGGACUGCCGAGAGAGGCUGGCUUUAUAGAGAUAGACCUCACACCGCUCCCCCCCACCCCCCACUUCCAAAACCCUCUCCUCUGAAACAAAAGAAAGCUUUAUACCCCACUCUCCUGGCUCGUUCUUACUUUUCCCACCCCACCCAGGCAGCCCCCACAGGCGUUCCUAACCCCUCAACUUCUACGAGCUACAAACACUUCCCACUAAUAAGCAAG
ensembl:lncRNA